GACGAACGCUGGCGGCGUGCCUAAUACAUGCAAGUAGAACGCAGAAGGAGGAGCUUGCUCUUCUGGAUGAGUUGCGAACGGGUGAGUAACGCGUAGGUAACCUGCCUGGUAGCGGGGGAUAACUAUUGGAAACGAUAGCUAAUACCGCAUAACAGUAGAUGUUGCAUGACAUUUACUUAAAAGGUGCAAUUGCAUCACUACCAGAUGGACCUGCGUUGUAUUAGCUAGUUGGUGGGGUAACGGCUCACCAAGGCGACGAUACAUAGCCGAACUGAGAGGGUGAUCGGCCACACUGGGACUGAGACACGGCCCAGACUCCUACGGAAGGCAGCAGUAGGGAAUCUUCGGCGAUGGACGGAAGUCUGACCGAGCAACGCCGCGUGAGUGAAGAAGGUUUUCGGGUCGUAAAGCUCUGUUGUAAGAGAAGAACGAGUGUGAGAGUGGAAAGUUCACACUGUGACGGUAUCUUACCAGAAAGGGACGGCUAACUACGUG
rnacentral:rRNA from 1 species